UACGGGGGGGGCAAGCGUUGUUCGGAAUUACUGGGCGUAAAGGGCUCGUAGGCGGUCCUCUCAGUCGGAUGUGAAAUCCCCAGGCUUAACCUGGGAACGGCAUCCGAUACUGGAUGGCUUGAAUCCGGGAGAGGGAUGCGGAAUUCCAGGUGUAGCGGUGAAAUGCGUAGAUAUCUGGAGGAACACCGGUGGCGAAGGCGGCACGCUGGACCGGCAUUGACGCUGAGGAGCGAAAGCCAGGGGAGCAAACGGG
rnacentral:rRNA from 1 species